UGUCAUCUAUGUCUACUUAGAUUUAUGCAGC
rnacentral:piRNA from 1 species